UGAAAGAGACCAGAAGAGAAAAUCAUGACGUGGGCUGGGGUCCUGGCAAAGAUGAAGAGGAGCAGAUGGAUUUCAGGCCCAGGUGGGAGCUGACGGAAUACAGCUUUGCCACAGAUUCUCUGAAGCUCAGAGGCGGAAAUGUGGUGUGUUGCUGGUGGAACUGCAGAUGGAGAGUGUCUGAUUGGCUGGAGCAGUGGCUUUGCUAGGCAAUGUGGAGAUCCAUGCAGCUGGAAUAACUUUCAGUUCAAGCCUUGGCAAACCGAUAUUUUCAAAGUGGCUCGGUGCUGAGUGUUGGCGUGACUGGGUAGACAGGUAGCUGUCCCUCAAGCAGUUCGUCAAUCUUUCCUUCACUGGUCACCUACUGAACACAUGCGAAGUGUCUAUCACUGUGGCGAGUUUUUGAGAAAACAAGCUUGGAAAGGGACAGAGUCCUGCUUAGGCAUUCAAGGUCCAUCAAGAGGCCAGUGGCACACACCUGUAAUCUCAACAAUAAGAGGCAGAAGCAGGAAGAUCGAGAGUCCAAUGCCAGCCUUGGCUACAUGAAACCCUACUUAAAAUAAAAUAGGGGCUGAGGAUGUACCAUGCUUAAUUGGUAGAGUGCUCGCCCAGCAUAGAUGAAGCUUAAGUUCGAUUCCCAGCAUAAACUCACAUAAGUGGGGCUUGGUGGCACCUGCCUGUGAUCCUAGUACUCAGGAGCUGAUGGAAGGAAGAUUAGGAAUUCAAGGCCAUCCUCAGCUCUAUAGCAAGUCUGAAGCCAGCGUGGGCUACUGGAGACACUAUCUCAAAAUAUAAUAAUAAACGAAAACCAA